rnacentral:lncRNA from 1 species
AGAAUGCAUUUUGACAUUUUUUACAUGGACAACGAACAAGAUUAUUCUCAUUUACACAUUGCUCAGCAACCUUCAUAAAAGACUUGAUACCAUCUAAGUAUUCUUUACAUAAUUUAUUUCGCAAACACAUCCAACUCCUAUCCAUUGUUCACUGCUAGGUACUAUAAAUUAAUAUAUGUAGGGAACAAAAGCAAGACAAAAACAAAAGAAUUUUACAUAAUAAUGUGGACAAAUCUUUUUAAAAAAUGAAUUGUACCUGAAAGCUGAAGGUAAUAAAUAGAAUUCAAUUGAUUCUUCAAGUUUUUGUUCUCAGCAAAGACGAAACUCCCAAACAAUUAAGUCGCCUGUGAAAUAGAGUUAAAAAUUCAAAAAAAUAUUGAGAGAAGAUUGAGAAAGAAUAUAACCCGCAAGUUUUAUUUUAUUAUUGCAGUAUAUAAUAAUUCUUUAGAUGAAUUAACAGCAAAUAGAGAUCAAAAUAUCCAUUAUAUUUAAUUUAACAAAUUAAAAAUUGAAACAAAGACCCACUUAAUAAAUAAUUAAAGCAAAACCCACUAAACAAAGUCAAACUCAGCAGGCCAAUAUAUAAAAUAAUACUAAAUUUACUUGAAGAAAUCAAGUGGGGAAGAAACAAUUAUUUACAAAUACCUCGAAAUAGAACUUUUCUUGAGCGGUGCCUUCCAAGUACAACUCUUUAGUAGUUUAAAGCUUGGGCAGAGAGAAGAACUCCAUGGCUGGGCAAAAGAAAGAAGCGAGUGUAAAGUGGAAAUAUUCUAGAAGCAAUAUUUUUAAUUAAGAAAAAUUGGAGAUGGAAACUUUACUUCCGUUGGCGCGCGGUUCAUUAAAUAAAGCACGUGGAAAUAAAAAGCCUCCCACAAAGUCAUGUUGGCUUUUAUAUUAUCUUUAUAUUUUUAUUUAUUAAUU